rnacentral:lncRNA from 1 species
GUGUUGGAGAGUGAUGAUGAGGAUGACAAAAACACCAUUGAAGAGGCUUCAAAUGAAGCAAAACCCCUUCAAAAGCCUCCAAAAGUUGCUAAAGGUAGGAACAAGAACAGAAAACCAGCUGGUGUAGAAAAAGCAAGCAAUGUCAGUAAUAAAAAGCUGAGCAAAUGUAAAUCUAAACAUAAGAGCACAACUGACUCAGAAAGCCUUCAAACUUCUGAGGUCAGGUUGCCGGACACCACAGAUACUUCACUGACUGUGUCUUCAGACUUUAGUGAGCCAAUCAUUGCAAAACCAUUGAGCACACAAGACAAACUAACAGUGGACACUGUGCAGAAAGAGACCUUGAAUCAAACUGAGACAGAGGAUGGACAUUUUGAAAAUGUUAGCAUCUCUCUUGCCGGAGAUGGCCAUAUUAGUACCAUAGCUAGUGUGGUUUUAGCAACAGUGGAGUCUGUGCAGUCAACACAUAAAGAGGACUCAGAAUUAACGCCAACAGAUUCUGUUGUGACAGCUGACUGUAGAACACAAAUUCCUACCGCAGUCCAAUCAGAGUCACAACUCAGCCAUGCUGAAGCUCGGAGGACAGAGGAUUCAGAUGGCAGUUUCCCUUUGCAGUAUGAAGAAAUGCACAGAGUCAAUUCACAUCCAUCCGCCGGCAACAAAACACCCCAAAGCAGAGGAUCAGUACCAGACGGUGAGGAUAAAACGAGGCAUGUGGAGCAGCCUACUGGAACACAUGUGUGGGCCGUUUUACUGAACACCAUCACUAAUGUUCAGCCGCUACUGAUGACCAGUCACGGUUCUGAGGUAUGCUCCUGCAUGUAAACACAUUAUGAUUUUAUUCUGAAUUGUUCCAGGAACAUCUAGAAGAACUCAAGCAGCUUCUGUGAACUAAACAUUUGGGCUUUUCACAGAAAAAAAGGCUUCAGAAAGCUCAAACCAAGAUUAACCUUUUCUCUCAAAUAUAACUGUUAUCUGUUAAUCAACUCAUUUUUAGUUAGUUUUUGACUUGAAGAGCAUGUAUUCCCUCAAGUCUUCUGGGAGGAAAUUGCACAGGAAGGAGGAAUUUCCUGUGAUAUGUGCUACUUUUAACUGUACCAUUUUAUUCCUGUUACGUUUUUUUUUUUUUUAGACAAUUAUUAAAAAACAAUUUUUAUACAAAUUUUAAUACUUUUAUUUUUUUGCAGGAAUCUAGACCAAGGCAAGAUUCCGUGUUUCAGAAUGCAUCGCUUUUAGAAUCUGAGACCAGUCUGGCAUGGACUGCCCUGUGGGUGUUCAGAUGUCGGUACCGACCGGCCCAACUCCGCAUUGAACAUAUGACUCAACAGCUGGAAGAAGCUGAGGUACAGUACUUUACCUCAUUGCACUUUCUCCAAAACCUCCAGCUGUGAACAGCUGCUGACAGUAAAAGAUGCAAUACUAGUCAUAAAGAUCUAAUCUACCGUUUUCAAUAACAAGCCCUCACUAGCUUCAGGAGAUGUCUGAUUACAAAACAUAUGACUUCAGUUCAAUUCAAUUCAAGUUGAUCUGUAUAGUGCUUUCCAUGAUACAAAUCAUUGCAAAGUAGCUUUAUAGAAAAUUUAAGUUUCUAUUUUAAAGUUUCUACAUUAUAUUUAGUAGUAGCUUGUCAGUGGUGACUAUGUCAAGUUGAUGUCCAAAUGGCAGAAAUGUACAGUAAAAUUCAUGCACUUAAUGACAUAAACAGACGGUGAACACUAUUAAAUGCAAUGAUUAUAUGUUGCGAUUCUAGUAAAAUUUGGUGGGUUUCUUUUAUGUUGUUUGAGGGUUGGCAUCAUCUGAGGUCCUCUGAGGGUUGGCAUCAUCUCUUCUCAGAUCUUCGUAAGAGUUGGAUCCAGACUGAAGCUUCUGUAAUUCCUAGUGACCUCUGGAUGCCAACCCUGUGUUAGGAACAGAAAAGCAAAUAGAGACACAAUUAGUGUAGCUGCUGUUCCAAUCAAGCAAAAAUUACUUAAAAUAAAGCAGAACUUAUUCAGAUUUCCAGGUCAAAUGUAAUCAGAUUUGUAACUGAUGAUGUCAACUCCUUUAUUUAAAAGGUGAGAUGUUCUAGCUUCCAUUGGAGCUCAAGAUGAUCCUUAGAUAAGUCAUGCUGGUGAAACAUUAUUAGAUUUUACAUAAACUUCUGGAGUUCAUGCAACUUGAGUGCUCCUUUAGCAGGGGACAAACAAAUACUAAAACUUUCUGAAAUGUAUAUACAGUACAUUCAUGUAUAUCAUGGACCCGAGUGAAACUUUCUAACUAUAACCAUUUACAAUGACAGUAAAUGUUAUGACGUGAUCUCUAUCUGUGUGUCGUAGAUCUGCCAGCAGUGUGUUAUGGAGCAGGUGGCUAGACUGCCUCAAAGUGAAUCUAGUGCAGCAUGCUCUUCAAAGCCCGAGCAAACCAUAGAGGGCAGAUGGAAAACAGUACUGAUGGAUACCUCAACUAUGAUGGAGUACAAAAAGACACAGCUCCAGCAGGUCACACAGUACCACCAGCAAAAACGGGCUCUCGCGGAUACUCUACACGACCUGGAGGCUGAGCUCAGCACACUGACACAGUGAGCAUCCUUGACAUUUUAUGUGUGUGUGUGUGUGUGUGUGUGUGUGUGUGUGUGUGUGUGUGUGUGUGUGUGUGUGUGUGUCGUAAUAAUCCAAAAUUCUUGUCCUUGUGGGGACAUUUUUUGGUCUCCAUGAGGAAAACAGCUUAUCAAUCAUACACAAUGAAGUUUUUUUUUUAUGUUUUUUUUUAAAUGUUUUUUUUCUUGCUGAAAGUUUUGUUUUAGGGGUAGGGUAAGGGUAUAGAAAAUACAGUUUAUACAAUAUAAAAUCAUUACACCUAUGGAAUGUCCCAUUAAACAUGGAAAC